CCUACGGGCGGCAGCAGUCGAGAAUCAUUCACAAUGGGGGAAACCCUGAUGGUGCGACGCCGCGUGGGGGAAUGAAGGUCUUCGGAUUGUAAACCCCUGUCAUGUGGGAGCAAAUUAAAAAGAUAGUACCACAUGAGGAAGAGACGGCUAACUCUGUGCCAGCAGCCGCGGUAAUACAGAGGUCUCAAGCGUUGUUCGGAAUCACUGGGCGUAAAGCGUGCGUAGGCUGUUUCGUAAGUCGUGUGUGAAAGGCGCGGGCUCAACCCGCGGACGGCACAUGAUACUGCGAGACUAGAGUAAUGGAGGGGGAACCGGAAUUCUCGGUGUAGCAGUGAAAUGCGUAGAUAUCGAGAGGAACACUCAUGGCGAAGGCGGGUUCCUGGACAUUAACUGACGCUGAGGCACGAAGGCCAGGGGAGCGAAAGGGAUUAGAUACCCCAGUAGUC
rnacentral:rRNA from 1 species